GAGUGAUGAAGGCCUUCGGGUCGUAAAACUCUGUCCUCAAGGAAGAUAAUGACGGUACUUGAGGAGGAAGCCCCGGCUAACUACGUGCCAGCAGCCGCGGUAAUACGGAGGGGGCUAGCGUUAUCCGGAUUUACUGGGCGUAAAGGGGGCGUAGGCGGUCUUUCAAGUCAGGAGGGAAAGGCUACGGCUCAACCGUAGUAAGCUCUUGAAACUGGGAGACUUGAGUGCAGGAGAGGAGAGUGGAAUUCCUAGUGUAGCGGUGAAAUGCGUAGAUAUUAGGAGGAACACCAGUUGCGAAGGCGGCUCUCUGGACUGU
rnacentral:rRNA from 1 species